GAAUAAAUGGCUUUCUUCGAGCUCUUUUUCGCCGCUCCUGUAGGAGAACGAUGAACUCAAAUUAUUCUUCAAGGUUUCAGAUAAAAGUUCUAAGUUUCAUAAUUAAAUCCUCAACGUGCCAUCGAUGUUCAUUCAUCAUCCAGCAAUUCCAACAGUGGAUUUAAUCGACUGGAAUCGUCAACUAUUCGAAUAGGAGUCUUAUCUCUGAAAGCAUACGUCAAAUAGAUGAGAGCGAUAACAAAGGAAUGUCUGCCUUCUGGUAAAACGUCCGGACCUUUUCCUAUUCAGAGCAGAGAAAAAUUCCUUUGACGUUAUCUUACAAUGACGAAGACACUCUGUCGCGUUGAUCCUAGCGCAACGUGAUCGUCUUAUCUGGCAGAACGGUGCAAAUUGCGAAAUUAUUGUCCGUUAAUCUCUAUGAAACCGAUGAUUUCACAUAAUUGUUUCUACCUCAAGGCGAACGCAAUGAUUAAUUUAAUCGGUAAUAUCUCUCCUUAUCUGAAGUGUGUUGUUAUUAAUUAAUCAAGAACACGCAGCAAUUCCUAGAAAACGAGUAGAAAAGUCAUUGGGAAUCCUAAAUGUUGAGCAAUAAGAAAGUUGAGCGAUAUUUUAAUUCUGAUAUUACAGAAACAUUUUGUUAUAUUCCUUCCAGAUGAAUCCAGUUUGGUUACUAUUUUACUGAACGCUGUUUAACUGCGAUAACAGGUCAAGAGUAAAGGAGUCGAGCGAAAGUUGCGAGGAGAAACGUUAUGGGAGGAACGAAAACGAGGUUCGGAACAGUGUAUAUAGAUUGGAGGUAAGAGAUAAAAGAGCCAGGUCGAAGGGAACGAGACCUGGAGGAACGGAACGCGAUAAGGUGGCGAGAGGGGCCAAGACGAAACGAGCGAGCACGCCGAGAAAAGAGAAACGGCGAACAAGGACAGGUAAAAACUGGUAGGGGGGAUAGAAUGUCGAAGGUAGGACUUUGACCGGCCGUUGCCCCUAAUGCGGUCUCGCCGCCUGCCUGCAAACCGAACAGAUCCUGGAAAGAAAACUCCGUCCUCUGGUUUCUCGCUUCGUACACGUCCAAGAAGGUUUCAUCAUUCUCGGCUGGGUUGCUGCCUACCUGCCCAUUUACAGAGACGCGAGAACAGCUAUACGCUCGCGGCGUCGUUCGUCCUUAAGGGGGAAACCACAUUGGAACUACAAGCAUCAAGAAAAUCAGACAUUUAUUUAAGAAUUUUUUACAAAUAACGUACGAAGUGGAUCUUGAUGAAACUUACUAGGCCUUGUGUUGGAUAUUUCGUCAUAACUAGACUGCGGAUCUUUAUGCAUUUAUGGAGAUAAUGGUUAUUCGUAACCAAAAAUAAUUUUUGUCGUCAAUAGCAGACCUACAAAAUGUAA